rnacentral:rRNA from 1 species
UACGUAGGGAGCAAGCGUUGUUCGGAUUUACUGGGCGUAAAGAGCGUGUAGGCGGUGCUUUAAGUCUGGUGUGAAAUCUCCCGGCUUAACUGGGAGGGUGCAUUAGAAACUGGAAUGCUAGAGGAUGGGAGAGGUAAGCGGAAUUCCUGGUGUAGCGGUGAAAUGCGUAGAUAUCAGGAGGAACACCUGUGGUGUAGACAGCUUACUGGACCAUUUCUGACGCUGAGACACGAAAGCGUGGGUAGCAAACAGG